CCUACGGGAGGCAGCAGUGAGGAAUAUUGGUCAAUGGACGCAAGUCUGAACCAGCCAAGUAGCGUGCAGGAUGACGGCCCUCCGGGUUGUAAACUGCUUUUAGUUGGGAAUAAAAGGGGGCUCGUGAGCCCCGUAUUGUAUGUACCAUCAGAAUAAGGAUCGGCUAACUCCGUGCCAGCAGCCGCGGUAAUACGGAGGAUCCGAGCGUUAUCCGGAUUUAUUUGGUUUAAAGGGAUCGUAGAUGGGUUGUUAAGUCAGUUGUGAAAGUUUGCGGCUCAACCGUAAAAUUGCAAUUGAUACUGGCAGUCUUGAGGACAGUUGAGGUAGGCGGAAUUCGUGGUGUAGCGGUGAAAUGCUUAGAUAUCACGAAGAACUCCGAUUGCGAAGGCAGCUUACUAAACUGCCACUGACAUUGAUGCUCGAAAGUGUGGGUAUCAAACAGGAUUAGAUACCCGGGUAGUC
rnacentral:rRNA from 1 species